AUUUAACGCUGGCGGCAGGCCUAACACAUGCAAGUCGAACGAGUGGCGGACGGGUGAGUAAUGUCUGGGAAACUGCCUGAUGGAGGGGGCUAACUACUGGAAACGGUAGCUAAUACCGCAUACCAUCGGAUGUGCCCAGAUGGGAGUAGAUAGUAGGUGGGGUAACGGCUCACCUAGGCGACGAGCACUAGCUGGGCUGAGAGGAUGACCAGCCACACUGGAGCUGAGACACGAUCAAGACUCAGACGGGAGGCAGCAGUGGGGAAUAUGGCAAAAGGGACGCAAGCCUGAUGCAGACAUGCCGCGUGUAUGAAGAAGGCCUUCGGGUUUUAAAGUACUAUCAGCGGGGAGGCGUUAGCCGAAGAAGAAGCACCGGCUAACUCCGUGCCAGCCGCCGGGGUAAUAC
rnacentral:rRNA from 1 species